ensembl:snRNA U2 U2 spliceosomal RNA
AUCGCUUCUCGGCCUUUUGGCUAAGAUCAAGUGUAGUAUCUGUUCUUAUCAGUUUAAUAUCUGAUAUGUCCUCUAUAUGAGGACUACAUAUUAAACUGAUUUUUAGAACAGGGAGACGAAAGAGGGGCUUGCUCCGUCCACUCCACGCAUCGACCUGGUAUUUCAGUACCUCCGGGAACGGUGCAUCUACU